GCUCCCGUAGUUCAAUGGAUAGAACGUUGGCCUCCGAAGCUGAAAAUCUGGGUUCGAGUCCCGGCGGGAGCA
rnacentral:tRNA from 1 species